rnacentral:ncRNA from 1 species
GCCCCUGUGCGAAUGCCCUACAGUCCCCCGCCCGGGGACAAGGAGCCGGUAUCAGGCACACCCCUCGCUAGCCCAUGACACCUUGCUUAUGCCACACCCCCAAGGGAAUAUCUCUGCAGUAAAAAACAUUAAGCCCUAAGUGAAAACUUGACUUAGUUAAAGCUAAGAGGGCCGGUAAAACUCGUGCCAGCCGCCGCGGUUAUACGAGAGGCCCAAGUUGAUAGCCAACGGCGUAAAGAGUGGUUAGGACAUAUAAUUAUACUAAAGCCGAAUGCCCUCAGAGCUGUUAUACGCCUCCGAAGGUAAGAAGAUCAAUCACGAAGGUGGCUUUAUAAUAACUGACCCCACGAAAGCUAUGACACAAACUGGGAUUAGAUACCCCACUAUGCUUAGCCCUAAACAUUGAUAGCACCCUACGCCUGCUAUCCGCCCGGGAACUACGAGCAUUAGCUUGAAACCCAAAGGACUUGGCGGUGCUUUAGAACCACCUAGAGGAGCCUGUUCUGGAACCGAUACCCCCCGUUCAACCUCACCCUUCCUUGCUUUUUCCCGCCUAUAUACCGCCGUCGUCAGCUUACCCUGUGAAGGCCUAAUAGUAAGCAAAAUUGGCACAGCCCAAAACGCCAGGUCGAGGUGUAGCGUAUGGAAGGGGAAGAAAUAGGCUACAUUCCCUGAAUAAAGGGUAUACGGACGAUGAUACUGAAACGUUCAUCCGAAGGAGGAUUUAGCAGUAAGCAGGAAAUAGAGCGUCCUACUGAAGCCGGCCCUGAAGCGCGCACACACCGCCCGUCACUCUCCCCAAACACUAACAACUUACAAUAACCUAAUACCCUAUGACUGUAAAGGGGAGAAAAGUCGUAACAUGGUAAGUGUACCGGAAGGUGCACUUGGAUAAAU